rnacentral:rRNA from 1 species
AGUGAACGCUGGCGGUAGGCCUAACACAUGCAAGUCGAACGGCAGCACAGUAAGAGCUUGCUCUUACGGGUGGCGAGUGGCGGACGGGUGAGGAAUACAUCGGAAUCUACUUUUUCGUGGGGGAUAACGUAGGGAACCUUACGCUAAUACCGCUUCCGACCUCCGGGUGAAAGCAGGGGAUCUUCGGACCUUGCGCGUUUGAAUAACCCGAUGUCGGAUUAGCUAGUUGGCGGGGUAAAGGCCCACCAAGGCGACGAUCCGUAGCUGGUCUGAGAGGAUGAUCAGCCACACUGGAACUGAGACACGGUCCAGACUCCUACGGGAGGCAGCAGUGGGGAAUAUUGGACAAUGGGCGCAAGCCUGAUCCAGCCAUACCGCGUGGGUGAAGAAGGCCUUCGGGUUGUAAAGCCCUUUUGUUGGGAAAGAAAAGCAGCAGGUUAAUACCCCGCUGUUCUGACGGUACCCAAAGAAUAAGCACCGGCUAACUUCGUG